AUCGCAAAAAAAUUGUUUAGAUUAAGAAGCUCUUAGCUGAGGAUAUUUGGCAUCAGUCUGCACAUUGCACCAGCCAUUUCCCACUCACAGUCACAGUCAUGGUUGACCCCUGAAAAGACAGUUCCAGAAUUCAUCCAUGGCUGUUUCAUUGAAUUCAGUAAUCAGCUUCAGCCUCAGCCCCACAUUGGGCGUGCUAGAAUUGAGACAACCGACUCUUUGAAAAGUUGGGCAUCAACACUCUACAUUAAGACAGCCGACGUUUUUGGAAAAGUCAGACAUCAACACUGUGCAUUAAUGUGUCGAUCCGUGGUAUUGCACAUCAAAAUUCAUCAGUUGUGUCACCUAACCCCUCAAAAGAUCCAAUUGCUGAAAUGAGACAAGUAGAGGAGGAAUAGGAGACUUCAAGGGCCACUCAUUAAUGCUAUUGUGAUUGUAGUGGUAGGGUGGGGCGUCGUAAUUUUCUCAACAAUCGUUUUUUAUACAAUCAGUUCAUUCAAACCUGUUUGAUUAUACGAAAGUAGAUAGUUAUAAAUUAAUAAUUUUAUUGUAAAUUAAUAAUGA